rnacentral:rRNA from 1 species
UUUCAUCGGCGUAGGGUGAGUCGGCCCCUAAGGCGAGGCAGAGAUGCGUAGCUGAUGGGAAACAGGUCAAUAUUCCUGUACCGAUGUGUAGUGCGAUGUGGGGACGGAGAAGGUUAGCUCAGCCGGGUGUUGGAUGUCCCGGUUCAAGCCUGUAGUCAUGCCUGGUAGGCAAAUCCGCCGGGCUUAGAUGAGGGGUGAUAACGAGGCGGCUUGCCGCCGAAGUGAGUGAUACCCUGCUUCCAGGAAAAGCCACUAAGCUUCAGCUACACACGACCGUACCGCAAACCGACACUGGUGCGCGAGAUGAGUAUUCUAAGGCGCUUGAGAGAACUCUGGAGAAGGAACUCGGCAAAUUGACACCGUAACUUCGGAAGAAGGUGUGCCUUUAGUAGGUGAACCAUUUACUUGGGGAGCCCAAUGAGGUUGCAAAGAAUCGGUGGCUGCGACUGUUUAAUAAAAACACAGCACUCUGCAAAGACGAAAGUCGACGUAUAGGGUGUGACGCCUGCCCGGUGCUGGAAGAUUAAAUGAUGGGGUGCAAGCUCUUGAUUGAAGUCCCAGUAAACGGCGGCCGUAACUAUAACGGUCCUAAGGUAGCGAAAUUCCUUGUCGGGUAAGUUCCGACCUGCACGAAUGGCGUAACGAUGGCCACACUGUCUCCUCCAGAGACUCAGCGAAGUUGAAAUGUUUGUGAUGAUGCAAUCUCCCCGCGGAAAGACGGAAAGACCCCAUGAACCUUUACUGUAGCCUUACAUUGGACUUUGAACAGAUCUGUGUAGGAUAGGUGGGAGGCUUUGAAGUGAGGACGCUAGUUCUCAUGGAGCCAACGUUGAAAUACCACCCUGGUGUGUUUGAGGUUCUAACCUUGGCCCGUGAUCCGGGUUGGGGACAGUGUAUGGUAGGCAGUUUGACUGGGGCGGUCUCCUCCCAAAGCGUAACGGAGGAGUUCGAAGGUACGCUAGGCACGGUCGGAAAUCGUGCUCAUAGUGCAUUGGCAUAAGCGUGCUUGACUGCGAGACUGACAAGUCGAGCAGGUGCGAAAGUAGGACAAAGUGAUCCGGUGGUUCUGUAUGGAAGGGCCAUCGCUCAACGGAUAAAAGGUACUCUGGGGAUAACAGGCUGAUACCGCCCAAGAGUUCAUAUCGACGGCGGUGUUUGGCACCUCGAUGUCGGCUCAUCUCAUCCUGGGGCUGUAGCCGGUCCCAAGGGUAUGGCUGUUCGCCAUUUAAAGAGGUACGUGAGCUGGGUUUAAAACGUCGUGAGACAGUUUGGUCCCUAUCUUCCGUGGGCGCUGCAAGAUUGAGAGAGCCUGCUCCUAGUACGAGAGGACCGGAGUGGACGCACCUCUGGUGUAUCGGUUGUCACGCCAGUGGCAUUGCCGAGUAGCUAAGUGCGGAAGAGAUAACCGCUGAAAGCAUCUAAGCGGGAAACUCGUCUCAAGAUGAGUCUUGCCGGGGCCUUGAGCCCCCUGAAGAGUCGUUCAAGACCAGGACGUUGAUAGGCUGGGUGUGGAAGCGCAGUAAUGCGUUAAGCUAACCAGUACUAAUUGCUCGUGCGGCUUGACCCU